rnacentral:tmRNA from 1 species
GGGGCUGAUUUAUGGAUUUGACGAAAUUUGCGAAACCUAAGGUGCAUGUCGAGGUGAGGUUUGCCUCGUAAAAAGCCUCAAAAAAAUAAAUGCAAAUCAAUUGCAAUAUGAAUCUGCUUUAGCAGCUUAAUCAGUUUAAUAAACUGAAGAUUCCCUUUCUAUCCUCUAUUUUCUCUUUAAAAGGAAUUUAAGAAAGGUUACAAAUAAAAGAGAUCGCGUUAAAUUUUUGUCUGAGGAUAAAACGUUAAAUUUAAUCAGACUAAUUUAUUAGUAUAACGUGUCAGUUCGUUAUUAAUAAUUAAAAUUUAAAAUUGUACUAAACAUGUAGUGCUAAAGAAGUAGAAAUUUCGGACGCGGGUUCAAAUCCCGCCAGCUCCACCA